GCAAGUCGAGCGAGAAAGCACUUCGGUGUGAGUAGGGCGGCGGACGGGUGAGUAACGCGUAGGAAUCUACCCAGUAGCGGGGGACAACCUAGUGAAAACCAGACUAAUACCGCAUACGCCCUAAGGGGGAAAGGGGGCAGUUUACUGCUCCCACUAUUGGAGGAGCCUGCGUAAGAUUAGCUAGUUGGUGGGGUAAAGGCUCACCAAGGCGACGAUCUUUAGCUGGUCUGAGAGGAUGAUC
rnacentral:rRNA from 1 species